UGAGGUGUAGCUUAGUUGUAGAGCAUUUACCUAGCAUGCACAUGUCCCUGGGUUGGAUCCCCAGCACUACAA
rnacentral:tRNA from 1 species